ensembl:lncRNA
CUUCUGGAUGCUUUCAGGCUAUCUGUCCCCAGAUAGCCUUUUCAGUUGUGUAAAACUGGAAAAAGAAUUGCAGAAACAACAGUCUGUUGUUUGUGUUGAUACCCGAAAGAUAAGGAGGCAUGAAUGUGUUUUCCCAAUGACUUUAGGGUGUUGCACAGAUAAGAAUCAGCUCUGGUUGCUUCAGUUCAUGAGAAAAUGAAACAUAACUUUAUGGCAGUGAGUCAUGGAUAUGAGAUGCUUCAGUUUAGGGGAAAAUGAAACAUAACUUUAUGGCAGUGAGUCAUGGAUAUGAGAUUAUAAGAGCAUGCUAAGAUGAUUCAGUCUGUGAUGUGGGUCGUUCCAUCUCAAGGUUAAAUUUAAAAAAUACUAGAGUAAGUGCUGUAAGAAUAUUUUAAGAUAAAUAAACAACGCAGAGGACUAAAGGUGAAGAGGGAAUUAAUGAUCAAGGGAAACAUUGAUUAAUGGGUCAGAGACAUGGGAGGAAUUUCAGUCUGGGACUCAUAGCUACUUGUGGCAAAUUCUAAUUGGUUAAAAUUGCCUAUACACGAGGUACUUGUUAUUUGGCCAUUGGCCCAAUUUUACUGCAAGGAAUUCUAAUUGGUCAACCACAGGCUAGGGUUGUAAUGACAGAUCUCCUCUUCGUCUGCAGCGUGGUAAGUGUCCAUAAUGUUUUUAAUAAAGACAAAUGAACACUCAAACAAAAACAAUAAUGUGAAAUCUAGAAAAAAACGAAACAGUACCGUGUGGUGACAAACACUCACACGGAAACAAACACCCACAAACUGACAGUGAAACCCAGGCUACCUAAGUAUGAUUCUCAAUCAGAGACAACUAAUGACACCUGCCUUUGAUUGAGAACCAUACUAGGCCGAAACAGAAAACAAACAUAGACUGCAACCCAACUCACACCCUGACCAUACUAAAUAAAGACAAAACAAAGGAAAUAAAGGUCAGAACGUGACAAGGGUUGGAAUAUAGAUUACAUCCUGUCUCUUUGUUCUGUGGAGAAUCGCUGAAGACAGGGAAGAAGGAACAUCUGUCAUCUACUUUCCAGCAUAACAACUAUGAUGUGUUCUUUUUUUCUUCUUUUUUGCUUUGGGGUCUGUGUUAUUGAAGAACAACAUCAACUGCUAACAGUUCCUAUUAAUAUACUUUAAGUGCCAACAAGUAUGCUCGUAACACUGUUGAUCAACCAUAAAUCCCCUCGUUACAGGGGAAAUGGAAGUUUGUUGUGUUCAACGGGGGGCAAUUGAAUGCAAGCUUCACAAUGUUUAUUAUUAUUGUGAAAACAUUUCUAGCCUGUCUAUCUAUGUGUAACAGGGUCGACCUGUUAUGCUCAACACACUCAGUUUUCCACCACGAAACACCAGAACAUGGUCAAAAAGAGUAGACGGGCUCAUCUGCUUUUACACUAUUAUUUGACUAUUAGAUGUUCAAUGUUUCUUUUGAAAAUAAUAUUCAAAAAGGAAUAGUUUCACCAUAUUAAAACGAGAGUUCAGUUCAAGUAACAGGCUUGACCUUUAAAUGAGGGACAGGUUGUUGUUGUUUUUUUCCUUAAAAUGAAUCACUAAUCACAAAAUAAAUAAUAAUCUACAGAAAUGACAUUGUGAAAGUAACAAAAUAAUUAGAAAUUUAGAAUGGUGAAAAAUGUGAGAAAUGUUGGCAUUAAGUGGGUUAAAAUGCACAGAGGGACAAAACACAGAACAUUUGCGCUUUAGUCUUUAUUUAUAUAUAAAAUCAAAUUUAUUGAAUAUUCCAUGCAGCCCCAAAAGUAAUUAUUUAUCAUGAGAGGGCCAUCAACAAUAACUAGUAAUCCUACAUACUCAAAGAAAGGUUAACAUCUCACCUUUCUGGCAAAUAUAGUUUCUGAGGUGUAGUCACUUUUGAGGACAUAAACUCAAGUACACAGUACAAAUAUGAUACAAAUAUGAAAAUAUGAAAUAUUUUACAGUUUAUAAUAGCUCUUGACUUACCCAGGAGAGGAGGAACUUUACUGAGCGACUAUGUCUAUGAUGGGUGUGCAUGAAGUCAAUUCACCAGCACAUUGUUCAACCUCCGUUGAUGUUGUUAUUACGUUAGAAAUCAUCCACUGGGUUUUGAUACUUGAUAAUAAGCCACUGUCUCAUUGUGAAAUAAAGAUGCCCAUAAUAACUUCUUAGAGGUCUUCUACCUCCUUUCUCUCUUUACCAGGCUUUGACCCGGAUGUUUCCUCCAUUACCCACAUUGAUCUAUAUGAGUCAUACCCGGUCAACAAUUAGCUGCCUAACCUGAUAUGCGUUUGUAAUCCCAGUAAGUAAGUAAAGAGAUUUGCUAUGUGCACACUGGCCACAAAACGAGGUGGAAACUGAGAUGCACUUCCUAACAUCCUGCCAAUCGUAUGACCAUAUUAGAGACACAUAUUUCCCUCAGAUUACACGGUGUACAAUCCACAGUGUACAAUCUGUAAAAUACUACAGUGUGCAAUCACAGCAGCAAGAUUAGACAAAAGAAAAGGGCAACCAGUGAAAAACACACACCAUUGUAAAUACAACCCAUGUUUUAUGUUUUAUUCAUUUUCCUUUUUGUACUUUUUGUAACUACUAACUAUUUGCACAUCAUUACAACACUGUACAUAGACAUAAUGACUUUUGAAAUGUCUUUAUUCUUUUUGAACUUUUGUAAGUGUAAUGUUUACUGUACAUUUUUUAUUGUCUAUUCAACUUUUGUUUCUUAUCUAUUCAACUGGCAUUAGCAAUUUAAACAUAUGUUUCCCAUGCCAAUAAAGCCCCUUAAAUUGAAAUUGACUUGGGGCAUGUAGGGAUAUUUCAGGGUUUCCAGCCCUUUCCUACCCCUCUUCUCACUAUGUCUGUCCAUUUGAUGGUGAGGUUUGGCAAAGGACAAGAUGGAGGAUUGAUGGAGUUCUCCUUUCGUCUUCAGAAUACCUUUUAAAUAUUGAAUACCUCCCCCUCUUACGUCACUCACAGUCAAGGCACCCGCAUUGUCCCUAUUCCCUAUUUUUAAUCACCCAUAUUCCGGGAAGGGUCCCUCCCUUUCUUACACACACUCUCCCUGAUUCCUACUCCGCACCCCGUCUCCCCUCCCCCGAUCCCCUCAAACCAACCUAUCCUCAGGACCUUAUUCAAAACAGAACUCAAGACUGUGAGACACCAACACUGUAAGGCCAAAACUAUCACAAACAUGUCCCUCUCCCCAGCUAUGCAGCCCACCACCAAGUCAAAAUUCAGAUCACUGACUCUAAAGAGCGAGAUAGAGAGAGACGGGCCCUUAUUUAAACAAUACCGGUAACUUUGUUUCUUGGAUAAUGCUAAAAAAAGACUAGAGUGAGAAAUACAUUACUGACUACUCUACAAAAUGAAACAAGUUAUGUUCUGUGGAUUAUUUAGGAUACAUCUCUACUAGAAACACAUUCGUCUACAUUACAUUUGAAUACUCUUAAAACAGCAAUAAAAGUCCCACUCACCGAGAUGGAGUAGAUAAGUGCAGCGAUGCCAAGUGGCAGGCAGCAGCACAGCAUGGUGAAAAUGGAGUAGCCAAGGUAGUCUGGCAGAGGGUAAGGCAGAGCUCCACGGGUCACAAACACCGUAGGCUGGACUGUGACGGUGGACUGGGGGUAGUGUCCCGGGGAGUACUGUCCCUGGGGGUAUGGCUGGCUGUAAGGGGCCCCGGGAGCUCCUCCAUACUGUGGCGGUGGUGCGUAGCCCUGGGGAUUGGGAGGGUAGCCUGCUGGUGCGGGGUAUCCUGCGUUGGGGUGGUCCUGGUAGGGUGGAGGAGCUGGUUGUCCCAUCCCAGACUUCUCAUCUGGGUUCCAGCCUGGUGGUGGGGCGUUUGGCAUCUUGUUGGGAUCCAUUUUUUUUGCUGUUGGUGAUUUGUUUCCCUUUUAUCUUACUUAUCUCUUUCUUUAUUUUGUGCCUCCUCUCAAUCUCUCCAAGUGUUCUUCUGUGUCUCUCUGCCUAAACUGUCUGCCUGUCUACAAGCUGAGUAAAGAAAGCAAUUAUGCUCUCUAUUCCCCUCCCCUGUCCGUCCCUGGCAGCUCAGUAUGCUUAGAGGAAGCCUGCGUGGGUGAGCUGAAAGGGAAUGGUUAGGGGUGGGGAAAGACUGAGUAGCUGACCAGAGUCAAAUAAUAAGUCUAGC